GCGCCGUCCGCGGGAAUUUGAAGUGCCUGACUGGGUGGCCGGGAGACGGAGUCUCGGGGUCGCGUGCACCUGGGCGGCCAGGGAGGCUCCAGUGCCCGGGAGAAAGGCAAGAAAACUGAGGCACAGAGAGAUUGUCACACAGCCAGUAAGGUGUUGAUGCCCUCUAAGGCUCAUGCGUUUGACUGCAAGGCCUCUGAGGCACGGGAAUUCACAGCUGAGUUCUUGGAGAAGGUCCUUGAGCCAUCUGGAUGGCGGACAGUCUGGCACAUGAUGUGCUCAAGGUGCUGCUUGAGGCCACAGAUGUGGACAUUUCAGCCUUGAAGGCAGUGGUGCAGCUUGCUGAGCCAUACCUCUGUGAAUCUUGAGCGAGUACUUUCACCUUGGAGUGUGUGAAAGAGCUCCUCGAGCUGAAGGAACAUCAGUUGCCCCUGAAGGAGCUGGGUGGUGUUUGAUGAUUCUGGAGACAGCACUUGUAACUUGUAACUGAGCAUGUCAGCUAGGAAGGAGGUAUCUGGUCAGAGAAGGUGUUUUCUGAGGCUGCUUCCUGGAUCCCUAGGGUUUGUGUUCCUGCCAUUCAGCCUAUUUGGCAGUUAUUUCCACCUGUACAAACAGACCCUUUGUCCCUUACAUGAGAAAGAAAGCCCACACCUGGAUUCAUAUUAAUAGGAUAGCCACUGAGCAAGCCUGUAAGGCUAUUGGUCUGCCCAUUCUGGUUUCUUCACCAAUGAGAAAACUGGGACCUGGGGAGUUUGCAGAAGCCAUCCAAGGGCACCUGCUUCUCACAGCACAGCAGCUUCCUGCAGCCCUCCCUCCUGUCUUGUUUCUCCCUUAAUUGAGAGGAGAGGCCAGAACCAGAUGCAGGCAGUUCCAACAGUAAUGAAUUGCUCUAAGGUGUGGAUCCAAGAACCGGUGACAAGGUCAGGAAAUUCCAUCCCGGGACACUGACCCAACUAAGAGACUGUGCAUGAUGGCUAAGUUCAGAGCUCUGAGGAGAUGGUAAAACUCAUUUGCAACGAAACAAGAUAUUUUCCAACUCUGCAGCCAGGUGCAGAAAGCUGGAAGUGAUGCUCCAGGGAGUUUAUGUCUCCCCAUCUUGACCCACACCAAUACCUGAGGCUCGUUGCUUUGAUUCAAGUCCGGACAAGCUCUAAGGUUCAGCUCACACUGGGAGUCACGCUGCAGGAGCUCCUGGGAGUCUGUGAACGGUGGUGAUGCAGAAAAGCAAAGCGUGUAUAUCUGUUUUAGUCCUCCCUCAGAUCUGCUGAGGACACCUUGAGCCUGAAGUGAAAUCACAGUGGCUCUCAGGAAGAAGGGUGACUGUCUGGUGUGCAGUUGUGCUGCCACGGCAAAGGGAACUUUAAAACAUAGAACUGCCAUGUAGAAGCUCAGGAAAUAUCCAUGGUCUGUCAUCUCUUUUGGUCAUAGAAUCAAAAAAAAUGGAAGACGAGAAAAGGCAGUGAAGACUGACAGCCUGUUGGUUGCUAUUCCAGUCGUGUCUGCUCCAUACGCGCCCUCCAUCUCAUCCCACCCAGUCAGUAUAUUUUCACCAGGCAGUGUUGCAGAAAUGUCUGUGGACUCCAGUUCUAUUGCAGUCAGGCAGCAUUUACAGGUUUGACUUUCAACUGACCAUGGCAGGAAGUCUAGAGGCAAUUAUAGCCAACACCUGCUCUAUGUGCGUGCCGGGCAGGUGGUGGCUGAUUCCUUGCCUCCAAUCCAUGAUGUGUUUCCUAUCAGCUCAGAAUAAUAACAGUGACACCUCUGCUUCUUCUCUGUCUGGGGGAGCUCAAGGCACUUUACUCUGAAAACCCUCAAAUUACUGGCAUUUCUUUUAGUGAAGAUAUCAAAUUAAUGACUGAAAAAAAUGUAGAAGAUGGUUAUUGGUGAUGUUAAAAGACAAGUUUAACCCACUUCCACACAACAUGUCUUACAAGCGUAAAGUAUUUGAGUAGAGAAAACUAUGAAUCUAAAAUUGAACAAGAUGUGAAUUUAGACAGACAGCGUUUGUGGUCACAGAUGUGCCGAGAUGAAGACUGGAGGAAGGGCACAGUUUCUGUAGCAGUGACUUCCACCCAGGGUGUGUCUUGCUAUUGUGUGAAAUGAUUUUUGACACUGGACAAAUCUCUACUUCCACUUACAAUGUUUUGCCAGCUAGCUGAGGCAUUCUGGGAGGGUGAGGAGCCUGGGCUUGGGCUGACCUCAGGAAAUCCUGUGUAAAGGGCUUUUGCACACUCAGAAGCAGGCCAGGUUCACCGCUGUUAUGUGCAAUAUUCACUCCUGGCUCUUGCUUCUGAGCCUUGGCAAACCUGAGUCCUAAGAGGCCAAUGAAAAGGAAAACACGUUAAGGAGCCAGGGCGCUUCUUGGAUAUCAGCCUGAAUAGUUCUGUUUCAUCUGGACCCCAAUUUUACUCUCCUGCUGUUUUACACGGAACUAAAAAGAGCUUUACAGAGGACCAGAUAGACUGCAGGUCCCUAGGCAGUCAGGGGCCAGGCAAGGCAUAGGAGGGUGUCAGGCCUCUGAGCUCAAACUAGGCCAUCAUAUCCCCUGUGACCUGCACGUACACAUCCAGAUGGCUGGUUCCUGCCUUAACUGAUGGCAUUGUCUUGUGAAAUUCCUUCUCCUGGCUCAUCCUGGCUCAAGAGCUCCCCUACUGAGCACGUUGUGACCCCCACUCCUGCCUGCCAGAGAACAACCCCCCUUUGACUGUAAUUUUCCUUUACCUACCCAAAUCCUAUAAAAUGGCCCCACCCCUAUCUCCCUUCACUAACUCUCUUUUCGGACUCAGCCUGCCUGCACCCAGGUGAAAUAAACAGCCUUGUUGCUCACACAAAGCCUGUUUGGUGGUCUCUUCACAGGGACUCGCAUGAAAUUUGGUGCUGUGGCUCGGAUAGGGGGACCUCCCUCGGGAGAUCAAUCCCCUGUCCUCCUGCUCUUUGCUCCAUGAGAAAGAUCCACCUACGACCUCAGGUCCUCAGACCAAGCAGCCCAAGAAACAUCUCACCAAUUUCAAAUCUGGAAAGCAGCCUCUUUUUACUCUCUUCUCCAACCUCCCUCAAUAUCCCUCAACCUCUUUCUCUUUUCAAUCUUGGUGCCACACUUCAAUCUCUCCCUUCUCUUAAUUUCAAUUCGUUUCAUUUUCUGGUAGAGACAAAGGAGACACGUUUUAUCUGUGGACCCAAAACUCCGGCGCCGGUCACGGCCUGGGAAGGCAGCCUUCCCUUGGUGUUAAUCAUUGCAGGGAUGCCUCUCUGAUUAUUCACCCACGUUUCAGAGGUGUCGGACCACACAGGGACGCCUGCCUUGGUCCUUCACCCUUAGUGGCAAGUCCUGCUUUUCUGGGGGAGGGGCAAGAACCCCAACCCCUUCUCUCCAUGUCUCUACCUCUUCUCUGCUUUUCUGGGGGAGGGGCAAGAACCCCUCAACCCCUUCUCCUUCACCCUUAAUGGCAAGUCCCACUUUUCUGGGGGAGGGGCAAGAACCCCUCAACAUCUUGUCCUUCACUGUUAGCAGCAAGUCUCACUUUUCUGGGGGAGGGGCAAGAACCCCUCAAACCCUUGUCCUUCACCGUCAGCAGCAAGUCCCGCUUUUCUGGGAGAGGGGCAAGAACCUCUCAACCCCUUCUCCUUCACCCUUAGAGGCAAGUCCCGCUUUUCUGGGGGAGAGGCAAGAACCCCUUAUUUCCACAGCCCGACCUCUUAUCUCUGUGCCCUGAUCCCUUAUUUCUGUGCCCUGACCUCUUAUCUCUGCACCCCAACCCCUUAUUUCUGCACCCCCACCUCUUUCCCACUUUUCUGGAGGGUAAGAACCCCCGAACCCCUUCCCUCCAUGUCUCUACUCUCUCUUUUCUCUAGCCUUGCUUCCUUCACUAUGGGCAACCUUCCACCCUCCAUUCCUCCUUCUUCUCCCUUAGCCUGUGUUCUCAAGAACUUAAAACCUCUUCAACUCACACCUGACCUAAAACCUAAAUGCCUUAUUUUCUUCUGCAAUGCCGCUUGAUCCCAAUACAAACUUGGCAGUAGUUCCGAAUAGCCGGAAAACAGCACUUUCAAUUUUUCCAUCCUACAAGAUCUAAAUAAUUCUUGUCGUAAAAUAGGCAAACAGUCUGAGGUGCUGACGUCCAGGCAUUCUUUUACACAUUGGUCCCUCCCUAGUCUCUGUUCCCAAUGCAACUCGUCCCAAAUCUUCCUUCUUUCCCUCCCACCUGUCCCCUCAGUCCCAACCCCAAGUGUCGCUGAGUCUUUCUAAUCUUCCUUUUCUACAGACCCAUCUGACCUCUCCCCUCCUCUCCAGGCUGAGCUAGGUCCCAAUUCCUCCUCAGCUUCCGCUCCUCCACCCUGUAAUCCUUUUAUCACCUCGCCUCCUCACACCCAGUCCGGCUUACAGUUUCGUUCCUUGACUAGCCCUCCCCCACCUGCCCAGCAAUUUACUCUUAAAAAGGUGGAUGGAGCUAAAAGCAUAGUCAAGGUUAAUGCUCCUUUUUCUUUAUCCCAAAUCAGACAGCGUUUAGGCUCUUUUUCAUCAAAUAUAAAAAUCCAGCCCAGUUCAUGGCUCGUUUGGCAGCAACCCUGAAAUGCUUUACAGCCCUAGACCCUAAAAGGUCAAAAGGCCAUCUUAUUCUCAAUAUACAUUUUAUUACCCAAUCUGCUCCCGACAUUAAAUAAAACUUCAAAGAUUAAAUUCCAGCCCUCAAACCCCACAACAGGAUUUAAUUAACCUUGCCUUCAAGGUGUACAAUAAUAGAGUAGAGGCAGCCAAGUAGUAACAUAUUUCUGAGUUGCAAUUCCUUGUCUCCACCAUGAGACAAACCCCAGCCACAUCUCCAGCACACAAGAAUUUCCAAAUGCCUAAACCGCAGUGGCCAGGCAUUCCUCCAGCACCACCUCCCCCAGAAGCUUGCUACAAGUGCCAGAAAUCUGGCCACCAGGCCAAGGAAUGCCCGCAGCCCGGGAUUCCUCCUAAGCCAUGUCCCAUCUGUGGGGGACCCCACUGGAAAUCGGACUGUUCAACUCACCUGGCAGCCACUCCCAGAGCCCCUGGAACUCUGGCCCAAGGCUGUCUGACUGACUUCUUCCCAGAUCUUCUCGGCUUAGUGGCUGAAGACUGACAUGCCCGAUCGCCUCAGAAGCCCGAUAGACCAUCAUGGAUGCCGAGCUUUAGGAUUCUAAAGACCAUUUCCACAUGGAGAAGCUGCCAGAACAAGCACUGCUACCCUUGGAGGCCAUUGACAUUGUGAGGUCGCUGGGACUGAAAGGAGGUUGACCAGAAGUUCUGUUUGGCAAUGCAAAGCCAGGAGGAAAAGUUAAUGGAGUUUGUCCCCCGGGUCCCAAGAAAGCUGACCCAGGACGAUGAAGCUAGAAUUUGUGUUCUAGGAGGUGCUGCUUCUUCCAGGAAAGUCUACUCAAAGCACACACUGUGAGCUGCUGCAUGUCUCUUGAGCUAGUUCACUGCAGUUUUCAUGAUGAAAGUGAUCUGUUUCAGUAAACUUUCUGUUAUUUGAGAGCAUGGGAAAAAUAUUUGCUGUGAUUUCCCAAUUCCCCAUUUUUUCUGAUUCUUUGUUGCAGUUUCCACAACUUUGUUAUCAGGCUGUGACAGAGGUUUGUGAACUGAUGAAAGCUCCAGAGCCUCCCAGGCCCUCUGAGUCUGAUGCCUGCACUCCACAAUCAGGCCUCAAGCUCAGGGCGCCUGCCACCAACCCACGCUGGGCUUCAGGGGCAGGCAGCACUUGAAUGGGGUUUGGUUAUUGUCUUUCUUUAUUUUCUCUUAUUUUAAGCCUUAAAAAAAAAAAGAUAAGGUCUUGCUCUAUUGCCCAGGCUGGAGAGAAAUGGUGUGAUCAUAGCUCACUGCAGCUUUGAAUUCCUGGGUUCAACCGAUCCUCCCACCUAAGCCUCCCGAGUAACCAGGACUGCAAGUAUGCACCACCACACCCAGUUAAUUAAAUUUGUGUGUGUGUGUGUGUGUAGAGGUGGGUUCUUGCUUUGUUGCCCAGGCUGGUCUUGAACUCUUGAGUUCAGACAAUCCUGCCACCUCAACCUCACAAAGUGCUGGAAUUACAGGCGUGAGCCACUGCACUCAGCCUCCUUAAGCCAUUUGCUUAAGUGGCUUUAUUGCAAAACAAUAUCAGAAUAACAAAGAAAUAUAAGGUCAAACUUUCCCUGUUCCCAUCUAGUCCAAUAAGCAUUGCUGCUCUUGCCAGGGAUUCUCGCCCAUCUCCAUGUGCCAGUGCAAUCCAUACUGGUUGUUCUCCUUGGCUACCCCACAUCUGAGUCUCUGCCUUGUCUGCAUUCUUCCCCACUUUAUGAAGAGAUGAGUCAGUGCCUGAUUUUUUCUGCCUCUCUUGUCACUAGGGCACAGCCAUGUGCAUGGGCCCUGUCACUCAGAAGCCCCCAUCCACCAACAACAUGGCUCUGGGGGCCUCCUCUCUCUGGAAGAAUUGGCAGUUUUAGCAAGAAAGGUUUUCAGAGGCAGCAAUGAUGGUGGAGAUGUCCAGGGCCAGUGGCAGGUCAAACCAUUCUCUGUGUCAUUUGGGGCAGUGUUUAUGCUGUCCCUCAUUUUGGUUCCCUAAGCCUCCGAACAUGUACGUGAAUUUCCGAAUAUUCUCAAUUAAAUUGUUUUUCUGUUGAAAUUGGCCUGGUUGCUUUCAACUAUGACAAACCUAGCUAUAUAAGUAUUAUUUUGUAGUGUUGGGAUUGAUAGAACUUUAUGUUCUACACAUUAGCAGAAUACCAUGUGUAUUUUUCCAUUUGACAUAAUCUUUUAUCUUUCCAUUGAUAAGUAUUAUUACUAUUUAGUGAUAUAUUAUUUGAGUUCUCUUGCCCCUUUUGGGUAGCCCAUGUUAACAGUAAUACCCAGCUGCUACACUGAGAGCCUCUGAGACUUACUGGCUUCAGGGGAGACAGCACAUUAUCAGCUGUGGUGGCCAUGGCCGAGACUCCUUUUGCCUGAGAAAAGCAGAGGAAAAUGUAGAAGGGACUUCGUCUUGCAUCUGAGACACCAGCACAGCCACAGGGUGGUAGAGCACCAAGGGGGCUUUUGGAAUCUUUGAUUCUGGGAUGUGGCUCUUGGAAGGCAUUUCUGGACUUGCCCUGGGCCAGGGGGAGCCCACUGUCUUAAAGGGUGAGUCCCAGGCCAGGCAGCAUUUGCCACAGUCGACUGAAGAGCCCUGGGGGCCUUCAAGGGACAUAGAAGGUAAUCUGAAAGUACUCCGCAUAGGCCUGUGGGGUGGUGGCCAUGGGGCAAGGCUGCCCUGCCUCUGGAAAGGGUAGGAGAGAGUGAGAAAGACUGCAUCCUGUUGUCCGAGUGCCAGCUCAGCCACAGUACAAUAGAACACCAGCUAGGCUCCCAGCCAGCACCUCUGGACCAGCCUGGAAACUGGGGGUAACUCAUCGCCCUGAAGGGAAGGACAAAGGCCUGGCUGGCUUUGCCGUCUGCUGAUUGUUGAGCCCUAGGCGGGGAGCGGUUACAGUCGGCCUUGGGUGAGACUCAGAGCUGCACUGGCUUCAGGUCUGACUCAGCACAGUCACAGUGAUGGUGGCCACAGGGGUGCUUAUGUCACUCUAUCCCAGCUUUAGGUGGCUCAGAACAGACACACUCCAUUUCUUUGGGAGAAAGUAAGAAAGAGAACAAGAGUCUCUCUGAUAAUCCAGAGAGUUCUCCCAGAUCUUGUCCAAGAUCAUCAAGGCAAUACCACUGAGUCUGCAAAAACUGCAGUGUUACUGGGCUUGGGGUGCCCCCUAAAACAGAUACAACUUAGAUCACAACACCCAUGGCCUUUUAAAUAUGUGAAAAGCCUUCCCAAGAAGGACGGGUACAAACAAGCCCAGAUAGCAAAGGCUACAAUAAAUACCUAACUCUUCAAUUCCAGACACAAAUGGACACCUACAAGUAUCAAGACAUUCCAGGAAAAAAAUGACCUCACCAAAUGAACUAAAUAAAGCAUCAGGGACCCAUCCUGAAGAAACAGAUACGUGACCUUUUAGACAGAGAAUACAAAAUAGCCACUCUGAGGAAACUCAAAGAAAUUCAAGAUAACACAGAGAAGGAAUUCAGAAUUCUAUCAGAUAAAUUUAACAAAGAGAUUGAAAUCAUUCAAAAUGAUCAAACAGAUACUGUGGAGAUAAAAAAUGGAAUUGGCAUACUAAAGAAUGCAUCAGAGUCUUAAUAAUAGAAUUAAUCAAGUAGAAGAAAGAAUUAGCUUGAAGACAGGCUAUUUCAAAAUACACAGUUAGAGGACUCAAAAGAAAAUAGAAUAAAAAAUAAUGAAGCAUGUCAAAGAAUCUAGAAAAUAGCCUCAAAAGGACAAAUCUAAGAGUUAUUGGCCUUAAAGGGGAGACAAAGAAAGAGAUAAGGGUAGAAUGUUUAUUCAAAGGGAUAAUAACAGAGACUUUUCGAAACCCGGAUAAUAAUAUCAAUAUCCAAGUACAAGAAAACAGAACACCAAGCAGAUUAAAUCCAAAGAAGACUGCCUCAAGGCAUUUAAUAAUCAAAUUCUAAAGAUCAAGGGUAAAGAAAGGAUCCUAAAAGUAACAAGGGAGAAGAAACAGAUAACAUACAAUGGAUCUCCAGUAUGUCUUGCAGUGGACUUUUCAGUGGAAACCUUAAAGUCCAGGAGAGAGUGGCACAACACAUUUAAAGUGCUGAAAGAAAGAAACUUUUACCCUAGAAUAGUAUAUCCAGCAAAAAUAUUCUUCUAACAUGAAGAAAAAAUAAAGACUUUCCCAGGCAAACAAAAGCUGAGGGAUUUUAUCAGCACUAGACCUGUCUUAUGAGAAAUGCCAAAGGGAGUACUUCAAUCAGAAAGAAAAGGAUGUUAGUAAGUAAUCAUGCGAAAGUACAAAAUUCAUGGGUAAUAGUAAGCACACAGAAAAACACAGAAUUUUAUAUCCCUGUAACUGUGAUGUGUAAACUACUAUUAUUCUAAGUAGAAAAACUAAAUGAUGAACCAAUCAAAAAUAAUAACUAUAACAAUUUUUCAAGCCAUAGACAGUACUAUAAGAUAUAAAUAGAAACAACAAAAAGUUUAAAAUCAGGACAAAGUUAAGACGUAGAGUUUUUAUUAGUUUCCUUUUUUUUUGCUUCUUUGUUUCUUUGUUUAUGCAAACAAUGUUAAGUUGUUAUCAGCUUAAAGUAACAGGUCAUAAAGAAGCCAGUCAUGGUGUCUCACACUUGUAAUGCCAGCACUUUGAGAGUCCAAGGUGGGUGGAUCACUUGAGGUCAGAAGUUUGAGACCAGCCUGGCCAAUAUGGCGAAACCCCAUCGCUACUAAAAAUACAAAAAUUAGCCAGGUAUGGUGGCACAUGCCUGUAAUCCCAGCUACUCAGGAGGCUGAGGCAUGAGAACCCAGAAUGUGGAGGUUGAAGUAAGCCAAGAUCACACCACUGUACUCCAGCUUGGAUGACAGAGCAAGACUCUGUUUCAGAAGGAAAAAAAAAAGUCAUAAGAUAGUAUUUGCAAGCCUCAUAGUGACCUCAAACCAUAAAAACAUACAAUGAAUACACAAAAAGUAAAAAGCUAGAAACUAAAUCAUAUUACUAGAGAAAAAUCACUUUCACUAAAGGAAGGAAAGAAAGAAGGCAGAGAACAUCACAGAACAACUAGAAAACAAGUUAACACAAUGGCGGGAGUAAGUUCUUACUUAUCAAUAUUAACAUUGAUUGUAAAUAAGAACACCAAUAAAAUGAAAGAUUACAUCAAGUUAAAAAGUUAAAAAGCUUCUGCACAGCAAAGGAAACAGUCAAUAAAGUGGUAACCCCGCAGAGUGGGCAAAAAAUAUUUGCAAACUACCCAUGUGACAAGGGAUUAAUAACCAGAAUAUAUAAGGAGCUCAAACAACUCUAGAGAAAAACAAAUCUAAUAAUCUGAUCAAAAAAUAGGCAAGAUAUUUGAAUAGACAUUUCUCAAAAAAGACAUACAAAUGGCAAACAGUCAUAUGAAAAGGUGCUCAACAUCAUUGAUCAUCAGAACAAUGCAAAUAAAAACUACAAUGAAAUGUCAUCUCAUCCCUGUUAAAAUCGAUUGUAUCCAAAAGACAGGCAAAAACAAAUGCUGGUGAAAUGUGGAGAAAAGGGAACCCUCAUACACUGUUGGUGGGAAUGUAAGUUAGCCCAACCACUAUGAAUAGUGGUUUGAAGGUUCCUCAAAAAGCUAAAUAUGGAGCUACCAUAUGGUUCAGCCAUCCCACUGCUGGGUAUAGACCCAAAAGAAAGGAAAUCAGUAUAUUGAAGAGAUGUCUGCACUCCCGUGUUUGUUUCAGCACUGUUCACAGUAGCAAAGAUUUUGAAACAACCCAAGUGUCCCUCAAUAGAUGAAUAGAUAAACGAAAUGUGGUGCUUUUACACAAUGGAGUACUGUUCAGCCAUAAAAAUGAAUGAGAUCCUGUUCUUUACAACAACAUGGGUGGAAAUGAAGAUCAUUAUAUUAAGUGAUAUAAGCCAGACACAGAAAGACAAACAUUACAUCUUCUCAUGUACUUAUGGGAUCUGAAGAUCAAAAUAAUUGAACUCCAUGGACAUAGAGAGUAGAAGAAUGGUUACCAUAGGCUGGGAUUAGUAGUGGGACAGGUGGGGCAGGGGGCAGGUUAGGACAGGUAAUAGGUACAAAAAUAAUAGGAAGAAUGAAUAAGACCUACUAUUUGUUAGCAUAAAAUGGUACUUGUAAUCAAUUACACUUAAUUAUAUGUUUUAAAAUAACUCAAAGAGUAUAAUUGGAUUCUUUGUAACACAAAGAAUAAAUGUUUGAGGAGAUGGAUACCCUAUUCAGCAUGAUGUGUUAUUAUGCAUUGCAGGCCUGUAUCAAAGCAUUUCAAGUACGCUAUAGAUAUAUACACCUACUAUGUACUCACAAAAAUUAACAAAUUAAAAAAUUAAAGAAAACAGAGUGAGAAUGGGAUGGUGAGCAGGUGGUAUAAGGUAUAUGAUAUUGGUGUUCAGACUGUUAUCCAAAACCCUAAGAAUAGGCCAGGUGCGGUGGCUCACACCUGUAAUCCCAGCACUUUGCGAGGCUGAGGCGGGUAGAUCAUGUGGUGAGGAGUUCAAGACCAGCCUGGCCAAGAUGGUAAAACCCUGUCUCUAGUAAAAAUACAAAAAUUAGCCAGGCAUGGUGGUGGGCGCCUGUAAUCCCAGCUACUUAGGAGGCUGAGGCAGAGAAUUGCUUGAACCCAGGAGGCAGAGGUUGCAGUGAGCUGAGAUCAUGCCACUGCACUCCAGCCUGGGCAACAGAGCGAGACUCUGUCUCAAAAAAAAAAGGCAAAAAAAACAAAA
rnacentral:lncRNA from 10 species